UUGCGGUCGUCGUAGACAAACUCGGCUUUAAUCCUCUUUCCUAAAGCAGGGCGGGAAACAAGGAUGUUUCCCGCCGGCAACCGGCCAAGGAUGGCCGAUUUGCCGGGAACCCUGCCCGCUUGCAAGAAAGGAUUAAAGCCCUAGUUUGUCACGACGACCGCGU
rfam:Desulfosporosinus sp. BRH_c37 BRHa_1004575, whole genome shotgun sequence.